rnacentral:tRNA from 1 species
UCCCUGGUGGUCCAGUGGUCAAGACUGCGUUUUUCCAAUGCAGGGGGCCCAGGUUCAAUCCCUGGUUAGGGAA